CCUACGGGGGGCUGCAGUGGGGAAUAUUGGACAAUGGGGGCAACCCUGAUCCAGCCAUGCCGCGUGUGUGAAGAAGGCCCUCGGGUUGUAAAGCACUUUCAGUGAGGAAGAACGCCUGGUGGUUAAUACCCAUCAGGAAAGACAUCACUCACAGAAGAAGCAUCGGCUAACUCCGUGCCAGCAGCCGCGGUAAUACGGAGGGUGCGAGCGUUAAUCGGAAUUACUGGGCGUAAAGCGCGCGUAGGUGGCUUGAUAAGCCGGUUGUGAAAGCCCCGGGCUCAACCUGGGAACGGCAUCCGGAACUGUCAAGCUAGAGGGCAGGAGAGGAAGGUAGAAUUCCCGGUGUAGCGGUGAAAUGCGUAGAGAUCGGGAGGAAUACCAGUGGCGAAGGCGGCCUUCUGGACUGACACUGACACUGAGGUGCGAAAGCGUGGGUAGCAAACAGGAUUAGAUACCCUGGUAGUC
rnacentral:rRNA from 1 species